rnacentral:rRNA from 1 species
CCUACGGGAGGCAGCAGUGGGGAAUUUUGGACAAUGGGCGCAAGCCUGAUCCAGCCAUGCCGCGUGCAGGAUGAAGGCCUUCGGGUUGUAAACUGCUUUUGUACGGAACGAAAAGACUCUGGUUAAUACCUGGGGUCCAUGACGGUACCGUAAGAAUAAGCACCGGCUAACUACGUGCCAGCAGCCGCGGUAAUACGUAGGGUGCGAGCGUUAAUCGGAAUUACUGGGCGUAAAGCGUGCGCAGGCGGUUAUAUAAGACAGAUGUGAAAUCCCCGGGCUCAACCUGGGAACUGCAUUUGUGACUGUAUAGCUAGAGUACGGCAGAGGGGGAUGGAAUUCCGCGUGUAGCAGUGAAAUGCGUAGAUAUGCGGAGGAACACCGAUGGCGAAGGCAAUCCCCUGGGCCUGUACUGACGCUCAUGCACGAAAGCGUGGGGAGCAAACAGGAUUAGAUACCCUGGUAGUCCACGCCCUAAACGAUGUCAACUGGUUGUUGGGUCUUCACUGACUCAGUAACGAAGCUAACGCGUGAAGUUGACCGCCUGGGGAGUACGGCCGCAAGGUUGAAACUCGAAAGGAUUGACGG